UACGUAGGGUGCAAGCGUUAAUCGGAAUUACUGGGCGUAAAGCGUGCGCAGGCGGUGAUGUAAGACAGGUGUGAAAUCCCCGGGCUUAACCUGGGAACUGCAUUUGUGACUGGCAGGCUAGAGUAUGGCAGAGGGGGGUAGAAUUCCACGUGUAGCAGUGAAAUGCGUAGAGAUGUGGAGGAAUACCGAUGGCGAAGGCAGCCCCCUGGGUCAAGAUUGACGCUCAUGCACGAAAGCGUGGGGAGCAAACAGG
rnacentral:rRNA from 1 species